rnacentral:rRNA from 1 species
UACGUAGGGUGCGAGCGUUAAUCGGAAUUACUGGGCGUAAAGUGUGCGCAGGCGGUUUUGUAAGCCAGAUGUGAAAGCCCCGGGCUCAACCUGGGAAUGGCAUUUGGGACUGCAAGGCUUGAGUGCGGCAGAGGAGACUGGAAUUCCUGGUGUAGCAGUGAAAUGCGUAGAUAUCAGGAGGAAUACCGAUGGCGAAGGCAGGUCUCUGGGCUGACACUGACGCUCAUGCACGAAAGCGUGGGGAGCAAACAGG